rnacentral:rRNA from 1 species
AUUGAACGCUGGCGGCAGGCCUAACACAUGCAAGUCGAACGGUAACAGGAAGAAGCUUGCUUCUUUGCUGACGAGUGGCGGACGGGUGAGUAAUGUCUGGGAAACUGCCUGAUGGAGGGGGAUAACUACUGGAAACGGUAGCUAAUACCGCAUAAUGUCGCAAGACCAAAGAGGGGGACCUUCGGGCCUCUUGCCAUCGGAUGUGCCCAGAUGGGAUUAGCUAGUAGGUGGGGUAACGGCUCACCUAGGCGACGAUCCCUAGCUGGUCUGAGAGGAUGACCAGCCACACUGGAACUGAGACACGGUCCAGACUCCUACGGGAGGCAGCAGUGGGGAAUAUUGCACAAUGGGCGCAAGCCUGAUGCAGCUAUGCCGCGUGUAUGAAGAAGGCCUUCGGGUUGUAAAGUACCUUCAGCGGGGAGGAAGGGAGUAAAGUUAAUACCUUUGCUCAUUGACGUUACCCGCAGAAGAAGCACCGGCUAACUCCGUG